rnacentral:lncRNA from 1 species
GUGUUAAAAUCACUAUAACACUGGAAUUUGCUUUUUUUUUUUCUUUCAACUUCUUAGUAGUAUAUAAAAGAAAAAACUAAGUUAUUCCUUAGGUUUUAGGCUUAAAUGUUUUCUUUAGGUUGAGCGGGAGGGUAAAGAGAAGCAGCACUAAGAAGCUGGUCAGAAUUCAGAUGAACUGUUUUGGAAUUACUGGUUCUCUGCCAUGAUGCUUUAGGAAGGACCAAUGUCUGGAACCAGGGUGUGCGCCUCUGAAAUUCGAACAGUGUGGCACAGAACCAGGCUGACAUGAACGUGCGUUUUUCUGUCAUCUGUCUUGGUACGGCAUAUUCAAGGGAUUUCCAGUUGUUUACAUCUUAUAGUUCUGAACCGGCUAUAACUAGUAAGUAUCUUACUUGAGCUCUAAGCCGUCUUAGAUGCGACAGAUGGAAAGCGCAUUAUUAGGGGUUGUGCCACCUGUGUC